rnacentral:tRNA from 1 species
ACUGCCUUCGCUCGGUUGAUAGAGCGUCGGAAUACAAAUUCGGAAGCUGUGGGUUCAAAUCUCGCUGGCAAUC